rnacentral:rRNA from 1 species
UCUGCUCGAGCUUGAUUUUUUUUCCUUUGAUUCAGGGCUCCCCCGGUUGGUUGUUCUUGUCUCUCCCCCUCCUCUCAUGCGAUUUUGCCCUGUCUGUUCGUGUAGCUUCCAGAUCUAUGUCUGUGGAUUAUUGGUAGUUGUAUUUUGAUGCGUUUGGUUCCAUGGAUGCCCCUCUGCACGCGUCAGAUGUAUGAAUUCGUGUGUUAGGUACUUAGGUCUGGCCUGUUCUUCCUCUGUUAGGUUUUAGGUGUUCUCGUUUUGAUUCCCUCAGUGGAGGCGCUGGUAGGUUGUACGUUUAGAUGUUGGUCAUCUGAAUAGGGUUCGGGCUUGUGGUUUCUGCUGGUAGUAUUGCUUCGUAUGGCUUGAUUCGUCUGGCUUGCCCUCUGCAUAUGUAGUUCUACCAUCUGGUAGGGUUAGGGUUUGUAAUUUUUGUUGUAGUUGUAAGUGUUUUAGCUUGCUUGUUGAUGCUAUUAUUGUGUGUCAAAUUUAAUAGGGGAUUGGUCUGGCUCGUCCCCUUCUCGUGUUGUUCUUCCAUGUGGUAGGGGUUAGUGUUUGUGAUUUUGGUUGUAGAGGUAAGGUUUAGGUAGCUUUGUUGAUGUUAUUCUCUUUAGCAUUUUGUCCGCAAAUGUUUUUGUAAUGUUAAGUCUGAAUUAGGGUGGAUGUUAACUGUGAAUUUCACUGUAAUGCAUCCCAUUAUUCCCUAGUUACAUUGUAAUUUACCAACUGUAUUAUUCCCCAGAUAAUUACUGUGCAUUUUAACUCUGAAUUACAGUGUAGUUUUUAUGCUUCGUCUCUGUAAUUGAUGUAAGUUUAAUUACUGUGUAAUUGUAAGAUAGUUUACACUGUAAUUUACUAACUGUAUUAUUCCCCAGAUAAUUACAGUGGAUUUUAACUCCGAAUUACAGUGUAGUUUGUAUGCUUCAUCUUUGUAAUUGCUAUAUGUCUAAUUACUAUGUAACUGUGAGAUAGUUUACACUUUCACAAUGUAAUUACUAUGUAAUUACAGUGUAGUUUGUAUGCUUCGUCUCACACCAGGACGUUCCGUUAGUAUCACCUUUUUGAGAGUGUCGGUGAACUGUUUGUGCCUAAUGCCUUUGCGGAAAAUGGUUCUUGUGCUAUGUCUAUGGAACUUUCUGGUGAUGAAGGAGGUUUUGAGAAAGCUCUUUUGAAGUUCUAUUUGAAUCAAAAAGUAAAAUGCUUGAAGAGGAAAUUAUCAUCUACUGUGAGAAGGAAUGUCGUUAGUCCCCCUUGGUUGUACCUGAAGUUCUAUCUGAGUAAAAUGCUCUGUAAUUUAUUUUCCUUAUAGUAAUUUUUUAGUGAUGUGUACUGUAUUUCUUAUGUAAUUAUCAUUUCUUUUUUUCUUGCACUUCGCAUGUUUUAUUCUUUGUUAUUCCAUUGUUAGUUUGCAGUAUUUUUUUCUUCAGAAUUUACCCCCUGGUUUUUGUUUACUUAUAUGCGGAAGUAAUCUAGUUUACUAAAGAGCUGUAGUCUUUUGUUUUGCUCUAGGAAUUCCUUUUGUGUAUUUUGUAGCCUUCUUGCAUUGGUACUCUCUUAUGUGUUUUGAUCUCUGUUUCCUUUUGUUCUUUGUAGAGACAGAAUUGUUCUAGUGAUUUCCCUUCUUGUUCAACUUUAUGUAAUUUUGCUGUUAAUAGUUGGGGUAUUCCCAGUGUAUCAUGGGAACUAACAUUGUAAAUUAUAGUGGAGUAGCUCUGAAGUUCCAUUGUAAUUUACUGGGUUACAACAUAACUUCAUCACUGCAAAUCCCUGCAUAAUUUCAGUCUAAUUCCCUAUGCAUGUUUUAUGUAUUUUUUGAGUUUAUUACAUUGUAAGCACGUUCACUAUAAUUAUUGGAUAUUUCAGUGUAAACCCUGACUACAUGCAGUGUAAUUUAUAGAGGUUUUACAAUGUAAUUCUUGCUCACUUACACUGUAAUUUAGUGUAAGCUCAUCAGUUUUCACACUGUAAUUUAGUGUAAAUCCUUGUGUGCUUGCAGUGUAUUUAUUGUGUAUGUACUAUGUAAUUUAUAGGGGGAUUUACACUGUUAAUCUUGGUCACUUCCAGUGUAAGUCUUGGGUAUUUUCAGUGUCAUCAGUUUUACUUGUAGUG